rnacentral:rRNA from 1 species
AUGCUUUCACAACUUGACUUCAAAAUAUUUGGUUUGGAGACCAUCAAAGAUCAAUAUGUGCAUGAUGCUGAUUUUAAAGAUGUUUUGCAGAAUUGUAAAGAAGGAAGAACCUGGAACAAGUUUGUCGUUAAUGAUGGAUUUGUGUUCCGUGCUAACAAGCUAUGCAUUCCAGCUAGCUCUCUUCGUCUUUUGUUGUUGCAGGAGGCGCAUGGAGGAGGAUUAAUGGGACACUUUGGCGUGAAGAAGACGGAGGACGUACUUGCUACACAUUUCUUUUGGCCAAAGAUGAGACGGGAUGUUGAGCGGGCUGUUUUGAAGAAUAAUAAGAAAAUGUGGGAAGAAUGCUUGCCUCAUAUUGAGUUUGCUUAUAAUCGUUCAUUGCAUUCUACUACUAAGAUGUGCCCUUUUGAAAUUGUGUAUGGUUUCCUACCUCGUGCACCUAUUGAUUUGUUGCCUCUUCCAUCUUCGGAGAAGGUUAAUUUUGAUGCUAAACAACGUGCUGAAUUGAUCUUAAAAAUGCAUGAGUUAACUAAGGAAAACAUUGAGCGUAUGAAUGCUAAAUAUAAACUUGCUGGAGAUAAGGGUAGAAAACAUGUUGUGUUUGCACCUGGAGAUCUUGUUUGGUUACAUUUGCGUAAGGAUAGAUUUCCUGAUUUGCGCAAAUCAAAGCUAAUGCCACGUGCUGAUGGUCCUUUUAAGGUGUUAGAGAAAAUAAAUGAUAAUGCAUAUAAACUUGAGCUGCCUGCAGAUUUUGGGGUUAGUCCCACUUUUAAUAUUGCAGAUUUGAAGCCUUAUUUGGGUGAGGAAGAUGAGCUUCCGUCGAGGACGACUUCAUUUCAAGAAGGGGAGGAUGAUGAGGACAUCAAUACAAUUAUUACACCCACAGGCCCUACUGCUAUACAUACUGGACCAAUUACUAGAGCUCGCGCACGCCAAUUAAAUUACCAGGAAACAGACCCUCGUGGUCAGGUUGAUCGUGCUCCGGCGUGGUCGAUAACCUCUCGGAGUUGGUUUAGCGAUUGCUAA